UGGGGGAAUAUUGCACAAUGGGCGCAAGCCUGAUGCAGCCAUGCCGCGUGUGUGAAGAAGGCCUUCGGGUUGUAAAGCACUUUCAGCGAGGAGGAAGGUGGUGAGCUUAAUACGCUCAUCAAUUGACGUUACUCGCAGAAGAAGCACCGGCUAACUCCGUGCCAGCAGCCGCGGUAAUACGGAGGGUGCAAGCGUUAAUCGGAAUUACUGGGCGUAAAGCGCACGCAGGCGGUUUGUUAAGUCAGAUGUGAAAUCCCCGGGCUCAACCUGGGAACUGCAUUUGAAACNGGCAAGCUAGAGUCUCGUAGAGGGGGGUAGAAUUCCAGGUGUAGCGGUGAAAUACGUAGAGAUCUGGAGGAAUACCGGUGGCGAAGGCGCCCCCUGGACGAAGACUGACGCUCAGGUGCGAAAGCGUGGGGAGCAAAACAGGAUUAGA
rnacentral:rRNA from 1 species